CUCCAGACUCCUACGGGAGGCAGCAGUGGGGAAUAUUGCACAAUGGGGGAAACCCUGAUGCAGCGACGCCGCGUGAGUGAAGAAGUAUUUCGGUAUGUAAAGCUCUAUCAGCAGGGAAGAAAAUGACGGUACCUGAUUAAGAAGCCCCGGCUAACUACGUGCCAGCAGCCGCGGUAAUACGUAGGGGGCAAGCGUUAUCCGGAUUUACUGGGUGUAAAGGGAGCGUAGACGGCAGCGCAAGUCUGAAGUGAAAGCCCGGGGCUCAACCGCGGGACUGCUUUGGAAACUGUUAAGCUGGAGUGCAGGAGAGGUAAGUGGAAUUCCUAGUGUAGCGGUGAAAUGCGUAGAUAUUAGGAGGAACACCAGUGGCGAAGGCGGCCUGCUGGACAGAAACUGACGUUGAGGCUCGAAAGCGUGGGGAGCAAACAGGAUUAGAUACCCGAGUA
rnacentral:rRNA from 1 species